UAUAUAUAUAUAAACACCCAGCGCACACUGUAUAAAAGUGGUUGGCAUUAGGAAGGGCAUUCAGCUAUGGAAACCAACCCAAAUCAAACUGAAACCUGGUGCAGCUCUGCUGAUGGCCACCUCUUGACAAACCGUCCAACCCUUGCAAGCAUGGAAAAUGGACAUUAAAUGAU